rnacentral:siRNA from 1 species
GAAUAUCACACGCCAUUGAUGAUA